CCAAACACAAGAUCCAACCUUGAAUGGACACAUGACCAAAAAUUUAUCCAUGACCCAAGACUUGAUCCAAAUACACCAAAUUAAGGACAAAUGUCUAGGUCAUGUUGUGUCUCGGGUUUAAGUAGAUUUUAGUGUCGAAUCUUGAGUUUGAGGAUCAGAGUUGUGUGUCGGGUGUUUGGGUUAAGUUGAGGUUGAGUCUCGGGUCUAUGGGUGUAGUAAGGGUUAUGUAUUAGAUAUUAGGAUCUUAAUUUUGAUCUCGAGGAUAGGAGUUCGAUCUUGAUCUUAACCCAAAACCUAACGCUCAAAACUUGCCAUCUUCGAACCCUACCCCGAAGCCUAACCUAACCCAAACCUUGGACCUACACAAGACCUAACCUUGAAUCUACACAUGACCAAAAACUCAAUCCCAAUGAAACUUGACCAAAAAUUGGUAGGUGUUGGGUCAAGGUUGGGUCCCAAGUCAAAACGAAUCUUAGAGUUGAGUCUUGAGGUUGGGUGUUGGUGUUAGGAUUAAGUCGUGUCUCUAAUUAGAGUCAUGGUUAAGUAUUAGGGCUUGGGAUCUCAAUUUCGAUCUUGGGGGGUUUGGAGUCUCGGAUCGAGAUUGAAGUUGUAGGUCAGGGUCAUAUCUGGGGUCGAUAUAGGGGGUUGGGCCCUCAGGUCGAGUCCUAUUGUCAAGCAUUUUUCAAAAACUCCAGCCAUUUCCAGCUAAUUGAAGUGUCCCCUUUAUAAGAAACAAUGGAAUAUAAAAAGUGAAUAGUGGUGGACAAGCAAGAAUGGAAGAUAUAGACAGACAGUUGAAAUGAUUAAACAAAUUCCGUGCUUCAGUUUCCUCAAUUCUCAAAACCAAACUCAUAAAACGGAGAGAAAGAGAGAGACUAAUAGUAUUUUAAUGACAGCCAUGAAUUAUCGCACCAUUUCUCCAGCAAUAUUUAUUUGUUUUUCCUCCAUUUUCUCCCUCAAAAACCCCCCCUUACUAUUUUCAUCUUAUUUUAUCUACAAAAAAUCACCUUUUUUUUUGUUCCCUUUCCAAAAAUCAUUCUUUUUUUGGAAAUCUUGAUUAUUGGACCUUUUUUUUUCUUCGAAUGUGAAUCAAGAAACUCAUAAGAAUGCAAGAAGGGAAGACUUUAUUCGCCAGAAUCGAUGAUUCUCCUAUGUUUCGUCAACAGAUCCAAUCAUUGGAGGAAAGUUCUGAGACUUUGAGAGACAAAUGUCUAAAGUAUUAUAAAGGAUGUCGAAAGUACACAGAAGGGCUUGGAGAGGCAUAUGAUAAAGACAUUGCUUUUGCCAGUUCACUUGAAAUCUUUGGUGGAGGGCGUAAUGAUCCCAUUUCUGUUGCAUAUGGAGGCCCCGAUAUGGCCAAAUUUGCUACCGCUCUGAGAGAAAUUGGAACCUACAAGGAAGUUCUUCGGUCACAGGUAGAGCAUGUAUUAAAUGAUCGAUUACUGCAUUUGGCAACCAUUGAUCUUCCAGAUGUAAAGGAAGCUCGGAAGCGUUUUGACAAAGCCAAUGUUGCUUAUGAUCAGGUUCGAGAGAAGUUUUUGUCAUUGAGGAAAAGUACUAGGAUGGAUAUAGCUGCAGCCAUUGAGGAGGAACUUUACAAUGCAAGGUUGAGCUUUGAGCAAGCCCGCUUUAAUCUGGUCGGUGCUCUUUCUGCGGUUGAGGCCAAAAAGAAGUAUGAAUUUUUGGAAGCUGUUGGCAGUAUGAUGGACAGUCAUCUUCGGUUUUUCAAACAGGGGUACGAAGUUUUGCAUCAAAUGGAGCCUUAUAUCAGCCAGGUCUUGGCUUAUUCACAAAAAGCUCGAGAAAGUUCCAUGUAUGAGCAGGCAGCUCUCAAUGAGAGGAUGCAAGAGUACAAAAAGAAAAUAGAUCAAGAAAGGAGAUGUUCGUUCAAUGGGUCUACUAAUGGUGAUGUCACACAACCUUUUUCCAGGAGUUCUCACAAACUUAUUGAAGCAGUCAUGCAAUCUGCUUCUGAAGGAAAGGUACAAACUAUAAAACAAGGAUACCUGUCAAAGCGUUCUUCUAAUAUAAGAGGUGACUGGAAGAGAAGAUUCUUUGUUCUAGAUAGCAGAGGAAUGCUGUACUACUAUCGAAAACAAUUGAGCAGACCAUCUUUUCAGGGUUCUGCCAGCCCACUCCUUUCAAACAGAUGUUCUUCCCCAGAACCGGGAUCAGGACUGCUGAGUCGUUGGCUUUCUUCUCAUUAUCAUGGAGGUGUACAUGAGGAAAAAGCUGUUGCACGUCACACAGUGAACCUACUGACAUCAACAAUAAAAGCAGAUGCAGAUCAGUCUGAUCUGAGAUUUUGCUUCAGAAUAAUUUCACCAACAAAGAAUUAUACUUUGCAGGCAGAGAGUGCAGCGGAGCAAAUGGACUGGAUAGAAAAAAUAACAGGAGUUAUUACUUCAUUGCUAACUUCCCAGACACCUGAAAGGCAUUUCUCUGUUAGUCCCAUUAGCGAAAGUAGUUCUAUAGGAAGUCCAAUUGACCAUGAUCAAAGAGCAAUGGAAGAAUACACAUCUGGGAGGGAUCUUACUGGUAGAUCUUUCAUGCGCCCAUCCAAAAGUUCAGUGCACAUCCUCAGCACGAAAAGAGAGAGACCAGUUGAAGCACUAAAACGGAUACCUGGGAAUGAUAAAUGUGCUGAUUGUGGCGCCCCUGGACCAGAAUGGGCUUCUUUAAAUCUUGGACUUCUUAUAUGCAUUGAAUGUUCUGGUGUUCACCGGAACUUUGGUGUACAUAUAUCCAAGGUAAGAUCUUUGAAACUUGAUGUUAAAGUGUGGGGGCCUUCAAUUAUAACGCUUUUCGAGGCACUGGGUAAUGUGUUUGUGAAUUCUGUUUGGGAGGAGCUGUUGCAUGCAAGAAAAACGUUUCAGGCUGAUGAAAUACCAAUGCGGUUUUUUGAGUCUGAUAAACACAAAGAGUUCUUUGGAAAACCCAGUUAUGCUGAUCAUAUUUCAGUAAAGGAGAAAUUCAUUCAUGCAAAGUACGCAGAAAAACGUUUCAUUCACAAGGUGAAGGACACUACACGCCUCCUUUCGGUUGCAGAACAGUUGUGGGAAGGUGUCCGUGCAAAUGACAAGAAAGCUGUAUAUCGUCUCAUUGUGGUCUACCAAGCUGAUGUUAAUGCAGUCCAUGGGGAAGAAGCAUCGCCUGUGAUAGUUCAAGCUCAUUUAACCCACAAAGUGAAAGUGAAGAGCAUUGCAUUGAUGAAUUUCUUGAUGGCUGUUCCUUACUUCACCUAGCUUGCCAAACUGCUGAUAUUGGCAUGGUGGAGCUGCUUCUGCAGUAUGGUGCCAACAUAAAUGCUUGUGAUUCACGAGGCCAGACCCCACUGCAUCAUAGUGUUAUGAGAGGAAGAACUGCAACUUCCAAACUGUUACUUGCGAGGGGGGCCAACCCACACAUUGCUGAUCUUGAAGGCAAGACCCCAUGUCACCUUGUCUCAGAAUUAGCCCUCAAUGAUGUGGAGAUUCUUGCCCUCCUGAAAGUUGCAAAUAGAUAGCAGCAGCACAAAGAUCACUCGGAGGUAAGAGUUUCCACGUCUCACAGAGUGAUGCUUUAUCUUCAAAGCAACGAAGAUUUAGGCUAUCUCGGAAAACAGCUUGCUAUAAUAUCCAGGUCUUCGAGAUUUUAAUAUGUCCAGGUCUUUGUGUUAGCAAAUUGGAGCAAAGAGAUGUAUUUCACAGAGUGCCAAGUUACUAAGGAUGUUUAGUUUGCUGCUUCAAGAUGCAUAAUCCACUUGUUCAUAUGUAUUUUUCAGCCUUUAGUUUCUUCUCUAUAAUUUGUUGCAGAGCUUACAGAAUUAGAUAGUACAUUAGUUGUACAUAGUUUGUUAUAUUAAAUUAGUUUGAGAUGUUGCAGAACCUGAAGAGAUGAUUUUUAUAUAUUUAUAUAUAUAUAUAUAUAUAUAAAAAGCAAACA